GAUAGUUUGGCCGAGUGGUUCAAUGCCCCAGAUUUAUCCUUUGGCCCAAAAGGGCGUGGGUUCAAAUCCCACAAUUAUCA
rfam:Picea glauca, whole genome shotgun sequence.